GGUGACGAUAACCGAGUGGUCUAAGGUGCAUGGCCUAUAGAGCACUCGGACUGACUCACCGGCUAGGCGUGGGUUCGAAUCCCAAGCUGGUAUUA
rnacentral:tRNA from 1 species